AUUGAACGCUGGCGGUAUGCUUAACACAUGCAAGUCGAGCGAGAAAGUCCGCAAGGAUGAGUACAGCGGCGCACGGGUGCGUAACACGUGGGUAAUCUGCCCUGAAGCCCGGAAUAACCUCCCGAAAGGGAAGCUAAUGCCGGAUAAGACCACGGGAGCCUCGGCUCCUGCGGGAAAAGGUGGCCUCUGCACGCAAGCUAUCACUUCAGGAUGAGCCCGCGGCCCAUCAGCUCGUUGGCGGGGUAACGGCCCACCAAGGCUACGACGGGUAGCUGGUAUGAGAGGACGAUCAGCCACACUGGAACUGAGACACGGUCCAGACUCCUACGGGAGGCAGCAGUGGGGAAUCUUGCGCAAUGGGCGAAAGCCCGACGCAGCAACGCCGCGUGUGUGAUGAAGGUCUUCGGAUCGUAAAGCACUGUCGGGAGGAAAGAACAAGCCUGUGGCUAACAUCCACGGGCCUUGACGGUACCUCCAAAGGAAGCACCGGCUAACUCUGUGCCAGCCGCCGCCGUAACAC
rnacentral:rRNA from 1 species